rnacentral:rRNA from 1 species
CUUGUAGUUCAAGCAGCAGCGCUGAUAGCUGUGGUUCAGGCCUGGAUCUUGUUGGUCCAUAAUAGAUAUGUUCAUCGGAAUGAAAUACCUCUCAUCCGAUAUGAUCCGAUGUUAAUUCAGGAUCAAGAAAGGAUAGCGAAUCUGAACUACAUCUAGAACUGCAAUGACAUAGAAGCUCCGUGGAUGCUUAGAAUGAAAAGAGCACCUUUCUCAAGGCUUGUGCAGACGUUCAGAAGAAGGGGGAUGCUAGAAGAUAGCAUCCACAACUCUGUGGAAGAGCAAGUAGCCAUGUUCCUCCAUGUUGUUGGUCAUAACCAGAGGUUCAAUGUUAUACACAGCACCUUCAGGAGAUCAAUGGAGACCAUCUCCAGGUACUUCAAGCAAGUGAUGUAUGUUGUUGGGGAACUCGGGGGAGAGAUGAUCGUGUCACCAACCGGCCGGACUCCUACCAAGAUUCGCACUAGCCCAAGAUGGUAUCCAUACUUCAAGGUGAGCACUGACAGUAUGUAG